UACGGGGGGAGCAAGCGUUGUUCGGAUUUACUGGGCGUAAAGGGCGCGUAGGCGGCGUAACAAGUCAAUUGUGAAAUCUCCGGGCUUAACCCGGAGCGGCCAAGUGAUACUGUUGGGCUAGAGUGCGGAAGGGGCUACUGGAAUUCUCGGUGUAGCGGUGAAAUGCGUAGAUAUCGAGAGGAACACCUGCGGCGAAGGCGGGUAGCUGGGCCGACACUGACGCUGAGGCGCGAAAGCCAGGGGAGCGAACGGG
rnacentral:rRNA from 1 species